UACGAAGGGGGCUAGCGUUGUUCGGAAUUACUGGGCGUAAAGCGCGCGCAGGCGGUCUUCCAAGUCAGUGGUGAAAGCCCGGAGCUCAACUCCGGAACUGCCAUGAAACUGUUGGACUUGAGGAUGAGAGAGGUGAGUGGAAUUCCCAGUGUGAGAGGUGAAAUUCGUAGAUAUUGGGAAGAACACCGGUGGCGAAGGCGGCUCACUGGCUCCAUUACUGAC
rnacentral:rRNA from 1 species